rnacentral:lncRNA from 1 species
AUAGAUCCAUAUAUAUGUGUAAUCAAGUCUAGAUGUUGUGUUCAGUAGAACCCUACGCUCUUGGGUGACCUAGAAGUUAAUUUAAAGUUCCCAUAUCGCCUUGCAGCAUCCAUACUGUCAGUGGUUUCAGCAUAUCUAGGCCCUGCUGAAACCGGUGCUGACCCUCCCUGUCGUGAAAAUGUAGACGUGGCAGCUUCCUUCAGAGUCUCGACAGCCUCGCCAAUGUUGUUUGUUGGUUUGGUCAGUGAGGAGCCGGACGUUGCAGACCAUCCUCCACUGUUUGGCCUGCUACCCCACCCCCCACUGGUGUUCAUCACUUCCAUGGCACGAUCAUUUCUGCGGUGGUAGUCGUCGAAACCGUCAUUUCUAAUGGUAUUACCACUAGGCCUGUUCCAGGAAUCAUUCUUGCUGUACUCACUAUACCCACCAUAGCCACUGCUGCCAUUGUGGCCUGUCGAAUAUGGUGGCUGACGCCAAUCCAUGGUGCUGUUGGGGGGAGACCUGGUUGAUUGGCUCACUUCAGUUUGGAUUUUGGUGAAGAACUCCCCAGUUCUCUGGGAAUCACGAUCAUGAACUGGGCUUGAAGGCCUACCCCAUCUAUUUGCAGGAGAGCUGUAUUUGUGCUCAGGUUGUUCCACAAAUGGUUUUGUACCAUAGCUGUCUGGGAAAUAGAUGACAGGCUGCGUUUUUCCGCGGCCAUCAACGGUGACAGGGCCCUUCGCAGCCCUGUAAUUCAUGCCGACGGGUUCGGUCCGUGAAAACAUCUCAGCCCCGUAAUUCAUGCCGACGGGUUCGGUCCGUGGAAACAUCCUACUGGAGGUGGUGUAGUCUCCGCUCGUGUAGCCAUACUCAGCCAUUACUUUCCCUUAACUACUCUUAGCAGAAGGAUUUCCUUUUACAUAUUAGACAUACAGAAACAUCUCUUUAUAUAGAAAAAUUUUUGCUCUAUUUUGCUUACGGCCGCAAUAGCGCAGAGUAUAUGCCACUUCUUGCAAACACCUUUUAAGAUUCUACAGGCCAUUCCAUUGAAUGAAAAAGUUUCAGUAAGAAUCAUAUUCUUAUUAAUGGUGAUUGGUGUGUGACCAACUUCACCCCAUUCUUGAUUGUAUCGGUACUGCUGAACCGGAGUCACAACGGGUCCUGUGAUUGAGAAUGAAAGAAGGGAGACAAUCACGUCCACUUUAUGAAAAAUAAUGUGAAUAUUUUGUUGUCUAUGGCAAGGCAAAGGUGGAGAAAGAGUUCUGGGUUAAUGACCCAACAGGUAUUGGUCCUAAGGUUGGUUCAGAAAAUGGAAUCUGGUGCCAAAUUGGAUGUUCUGGGUCAAUGUCAACUUCUAUCCCAAUCCCCCACUAUAUUUAGAUUCAAAGUGGCAUUUCUCUUCCAAGGAUCAUAUUCCACUUUUCUUUCACCUCAGUAUGCACCAGUGCAUUCAUUCACGUGCUUCCGGUGAAAUAAUGGUUGUCAGAACAAUACAUAUUCUGAUAAUUACUUGUGGAUGGCGACCUCCACUACCUUCUCAACCCUUGAAUUUUUAGUGUCGGUUUUCACGCAUACACCGGAAUGUCUUCCACAUCAACUUUCAUCCACAAUGGCUGCCAAGGUCGGCAGGGUAAAACAGAUCGAGAAGGGAGAGUCACACUUCAAAUGAAUGUGAAUUUGCUUACAUAGAUGGUGCUUUCACCAUUGCAAGAGAAGAAGAGGGCUGAGGAUGAACCAAUACCAAGGCCCUGUGUAAUAAUUGCAGAUCAUUGUUAAAUAAUAGAUAGCAUUCCCAGAUGGACCAAGAAUUAUCCCAGAACGUUCAAAACCUGCAGGAGAAUCAUCUAUUAGGAAAAAUUUCCUCCACUUUUAUUUCACAGAAUGUAUUAUAAUAUACUUUCGUUCUUCAUCUCAUUUUCUCUUCCCUUUGUUUCUAUUCGCUUCCCAAACAGAUAGUAGAAGCAUCCAGGAACCUUAGGAAAAAGCACUGGUACAAAGAGAUUUUCAUUACCAACCUCGCCACUGAAACCAGCCCUUUAACAAGAACAUGUUCUAUGUUAAUAGUUGAAGCAUUAGUUUAUGAGAUAUUUUGAUCUAUAGAAGGGUCCAUGCAAACCAAGUAAAACUAUAAUUGAAAGAAGAGAAUUACCUGAGUCUUACAGCAUCCCGAGUAGUUUCUUUAAUAUAGUCAUUAACCAAGGGGAUUCUCAUCAGGUCAUCAUAGUCGAGAACAAGCUGCCAUGCCAGAAAUGACCAUAUCAAGCAAUCCAAAGUAGCAGAGGUCAUAAGCAAGUACAAUGUUAAUUGCAAACUUGAGCUCAUAUUUGGGUACAUGUGGUUAAGUUUCCUUAAGAUGAUGGGUCACAUUUACUAAGCAUAAGCUCUACUAAAAAGUAGCUCAUUUGAUGAUCUUACAUUUUGAUUGUAAUCAUAUUGAAUUGAAUUCAUGGAUGGUGGAGAAGCUUAUAAAAUUUUUGGAGAAAUUAAUUCUCAAAUUGGAUGGUCGAGCCUCAUCAAAUAUAUUUAAAUUUUCAAGAACUUAUAUAUUAAACAAGACAACCUCAAAAGUCGGGUCUUGAUGUAAUGAACCCCUCCCAACUGUUUAAAUAUUGCCUACUUUGGCCCAAAGGCCCUUCACAAUUUUAAAACACGUCUACGUGAUUAAGAAGAGUCCUUGUAUAUAUAACAUAAAGAGUUUUUUUCCCUUAUUUGAUGUAAGAUAUUACAGUUGAUCUAUUCUCUUGGUACCAAUAUGGUACAAAAAUGGAGAAAGCAGUGAUCACUACUUUCAUGAUCUUUAGAAGAAACAUGUGUGCAAGACUAGAUGUACCAACCAUAAAAGGAAAAACCGGAUAAAAAUAUAAACCAAAGAAGAAUCUACCCUACAUUAUCAUAAAAUCAUAAACGGGUAUAUAUAGGAUAUGACCAAUUGUUCACUCUUCAACGAGUAGGCAGGAUUUUUCAUAUAGGAAACACACAGUUUUAAGCAUAUUCUGAUUCAGAUACAGAAGAUGGAGAAAUGGAAAGAGAAACCCAAAUAUCCUUCUUGUGACAGAUUCCUUCCUACAAGGAUGUAUUCUCUAACUAAUACCUUUUCUCAAGAAGAGGAAAUUCACAUUCUUUUUUUUCCCUUUUUUUUUUUCUUCUUUUUGAAAGAAUAAAUAUAGCCCCAUGAUCCAUCUAAGAUAACAUCCUAAUCAGAACAAUAACUACAACCACCUUUUGUUUUGACUCAUGAUAGACUUAGUAGUUUCACAAUCAACAUUCAAUCCUACUUCAAUAAAAUGAUGAUGACUUUUUUGGUUAUAUAAAACCACAACAAAGAACAACAAUAAAGAGAAGAAAAUGAGGAAAAGAAAAUGGAAAAUACAUAAAACAUACCAUGAUUUACAUGAUUAGCCUAAAGCCCACAUCUAUGAGUGAAGAUGAAAAAAAAACUACUAUUGUUAAAAGAUAUUGCAAUCUUAGAGUUCUCAAAUCCCCAAUUACACCCAAAACAAAGAACUUUAUCUUUCAGUCCAAAUCUCUUUGUAUAUUUUUCCUGAUUACAUAUAAAAACUUAAUUGUCUAAUUAUUAAAGUACUUAUUCCUAUAAUAAAAAAUUCUCACAAUAGAAUAUUUCCUUCAUAAUAAUAGGAAUCUCCCCAACUAGAAUGUAUUCAAAUAGGAAAAUAUUGAAGUUAAAAAUGAACUUAAAAGAGAAUUUGAGAUGCUUUCUAAUAAUUUCUACCUUAGCUUAAAUUCUCAUGUCUUAAACAAGCUCAAAAGUCUUUCAUGUCACUUCACUCCCACACCCUUAAAGGGCCUUUAGAUACUACAAUCACCAAUUAAAUUCAAGCAAUCUCCAAAAAACAAAAUACUAGAAGUGAUUUUUUCAAAUUUUUAAAAGUGUUUUCUAAAUUUUAUUAAACAUCUUUAUAUAUAUAUAUAUAUAUAUAUAUAUAUAUAAAUUUUAGGAUAAAAGUAUUUCCUAGAAUCAAUAUCAAAUGAACUCUUGUUAGCUCAUUGGUCACCUACAUACAUAAACAUACAUGUCAACAACUAGUUGAUCGGUUGAUUGGGUAGUUGACUAAUUGAGUUGGAAUUUGUGUCUAAUAGUUAGGUAGUACAAAAAUCUCAUAUUUAUAACAUCUAAACUUCAAUUAUGAAUUACUUAUCGUGUAAAUAUCAUUAGUGAGAAUUUAUUUGGAUCUUUCAAUGCUUGAGUGCAGUUACUCCCAACUUGCUUUCCUAUUGAUUGCAUCCUCAUAAUGACUAUCUAGCUAUCUUUUCUCCUACAUUUGUUGGUGACCUAGACUAAUUCUUGUACUUCAAGCUAUUAUUCAUUUAUACUUUGUGUGGGAGUGUAUUACUCGAGUGUUAGAAGAACACUUGAGAAGGUGUUCAGGUUCACUAAUACCUUUAAUUAUCAAGUGUAAAAUUGAAUUAAGGACACUUUGCAUUGAAGGCUUUGGCAAUCAACAUAAAGGAAAGAGGUACACAUGUUUUUUCUAUGGAAGUAGCAUGGAAAGCUUUAGUUCAACUUUGGCAGGUGUUAGAAAUAUGGAAUAAUUGUAUUCUAUUUCUUAAUUAAAGAAUAUACAUCAAUGCCUUUAUAUAGGAGGCAUAUGUGUGCGAUACAAGUAAUAUGUGUGCGGUACAAGUAAAGUGUACUAUACAAGUAACCUAACUGGGCCUAAAGCCCAAAACAUAAUAUACUUUAACAGCCCCCCUCAAAUUCAAGGUGGAUGUGAGACCAACUUGAGGUUGUCAACUAAAUCACGAGUGCGUCUCUUAGGAAGUGACUUGGUGAAGAUAUCUGCAAGUUGAUCUUUGGAGGAGACGGAGAAAAGCUUAAGAGCACCAUGGACAAGAUGAUAACGGAUAAAAUGACAAUCAAUCUCGAUGUGUUUAGUCCGUUCAUGAAAGACAUCAUUGUGAGCAAUAUGAAUGUCACUCUAGUUGUCACAAUAAAGAGGAGUAGCAGAGGAGGUGGACACACCCAAAUCCUUAAGAAGCCAUCUUAGCCAAAGGAGCUCAAAUGUGGUAUCAGCAAGGGCACGAUAUUUCGCUUCAGUACUGGAGCAGGCCACAAAAGUUUGUUUCUUACUUCUCCAAGAAAUCAAAGAAGAACCAAGGAGGAAGAAAUAACCUGUAGACCUGUGAUUAGUAGGAUCUCCUGCCCAAUCAGCAUCAGAGAAUGCACGGAAUACAAGAGGAGACUGAGCUGAGUAGAAAAGGCCAUGAAAAAGGGUACCCUUCAGGUAUCGAAGAAUGCACAGAACAACAGCAUAGUGAGUUGAUCGUGGAGCAAACAAAUACUGGCUCACCUGAUGAACAGCAUAGGAGAUGUCUGGACGAGUAACUGUGAGAUAAACUAAGCUGCCAACCAAUCGUUUGUAAAGAGAAGGAUUAGACAAUGGUUUCCCCCCGAGGGUGUCAGAUGCGCAUUAAGUUCAACUGGAGUGUCAACAGUCUUGCUGUCAGUGAGUCCAGCUUGAGACAACAGGUCAGAAGCAUACUUGGCUUGAGUAAUAUAAAGACCAUAUGUGGAAUGAGUAAUUUCAAGACCCAAGAAAUAGCUGAGAUGUCCAAGAUCUUUCAUCUCAAACUGCUGACUGAGAAAAUCCUUGAGUUCUUGAAUGCUACUAAGGUCAUCACCAGUUAUGAUCAUAUCAUCCACAUAUAGAAGAAGCAAAAUAGUGCCUUUAUCAGUACGACGAAGAAAUAAGGCAGAAUCAUACGGACUGGCAGUGUAACCCAAACGGAAAAAUAGUGGAGCUGAACUUGGCAAACCAAGCUCGUGGGGCUUGUUUAAGACCAUAAAGUGCACGUCGAAGAUGACAAACCUUGUUUGAUUCAACAGAGAGACCAGGAGGAGGUUGCAUAUAGACUUCUUCACUCAGAUCCCCAUUAAGGAAGGCAUUUUUAACAUCCAUCUGAAAAAGAUCCCAUUUACGAGUAGCAGCAACAGCUAAGAGAGCAUGAACAGAUGAGAUACGAGCAACUGGAGCAAAAGUCUCUUCAUAAUCAAUCCCAUACUCCUGUGUAAAACCUUUGGCAACAAGACGAGCCUUGUAGCGCUCAACGGAUCCAUCAGAGCGAGUCUUGAUCUUAUAGAUCCACUUACAACCAACCAUAGACUGUCCAGGAGAGAGAGUAACAAGGUCCCAAGUAUGGUUUUUGGUUAAUGCAUCAAGUUCCUCUUUCAUUGCAAUCUGCCAUAAAGGGUCAGUAGAGGCCUCACGAUAGGUUUGAGGCUCGUGAAGUGUAGCAAGGGCAGUGUAACAAUGAUAGUAAAGGAGGUGUGGAAGAAUGGAUCUUACCCGGGUUGAGUGGCGAGGUGGAAUGUCUUGUGGAGGAUCUUCAGGCAGAGUAGGAACAGGGGACCCAAGCUCAAAGUGGGGUAGCUCAUCAUCAAUCUGUUCAUCUGCAACCUGUCUAGGAGAAGCAUCAAAGAUAUCUGGAGAGAGUCCAAAGGAGGAUCAAAAGUAUUGUAAAAGGAACAAGAGACUCAUCUGGAAAGAUUUCUAAAACAGAGGAGUUAGUCAAGGAAGAACGAAAGUGAGAGAGGUCAACAAACAAUCGGUGAUCCCAAAAGACAACAUCACGAGAAACACGAAGACGAUGAGAGACAGGAUCAUAACACCUAUACCCCUUUUGAGUUUCGCCAUAACCAAGGAAACAACAUAGUCUAGAUCGAGGCUCAAGUUUGUUGUGCUCAUGAGGCUGAAGAAGAACGAAACAAGCAGAUCCAAAUGAGCGAAGGUGAUGAUAGUCAGGGGGUGACCCAAAAAGACGCUCAUACGGAGUCUAAUUAUAGAUGACAACACUUGGAAUGCGGUUAAUUGCAUGAACAACAUGAAGAUUAGCUUCACCCCAAAAUGGGGCAGGAACUUUGGCAGAAAGAAGUAGAGCACGAACAGUGUCAAGAAUAUGACGAAGUUUUCUUUCGGCUCUACCAUUUUGCUGAGAGGUACCUGGACAAGUUAGAUGACGUAUAGUGCCAUAGGAAUGUAACAGAGCUUGAAACGCAUAUUGAGUAUAUUCAAGAGCAUUAUCAGAUCGAAAGGUUUUGAUACGUUUGGAGAAUUGAGUUUCAACCAUUUUUGCAAAAUUGCUAUAUAUUGGUAAAAUUUCAGAACGAGAUUUCAUAGGAAAAAUCCAACUAUAACGAGAAUAAUCAUCAAUAAAAACAACAAAAUAUCGAGAUCCACCAAUACUAGCAACAGGAGAAGGUCCCCAAACAUCAGAAUGAAUUAACUCAAAAAUACUAUUAGAAAUGGAUUCACUGUUAUUAAAAGACAAAGUUGACUGUUUUCCUAACUGACAUGAAGUGCAAUCAAAAUUAUCUUUAGACACAGAACCCAACAGACCCCUAGACACUAACUGUUGUACCCGAGAAGAUGGUGCAUGACCAAGACGAGAAUGUCAAAGUGCAAGAGAAGGUAAGGAAGAAACUGCAGCCGCUGCAGCAGCAACAGAAACAGGAGCAAUAGGUGGAAGAUGAAGAUUGUUCACGGGAAACAUACGCCCAACUCUAGGACCGAUCCCAAGCUCCUGCCCCGUCCUCAGAUCCUACACAAUACACCCAGAAUAGUAAAAAAUAAGGCGAUAACCUAGUUCAGCUAAUUGUCCCACAGAGCACAAAUUAUAGGAUAGGGCAGGUACGUGGAAGACUCCAGGAACAGAAAGAUUAGAAGUUGAAACAAAACCUAGACUAUUUCCAUGCAUGGUGGAACCAUCAGCUAUAUGAAUAUUUAGAGGAUGUGGUGCAGGGUCAAGGUUGGAGAACAGGGAUGAGUGAGGUGUCAUGUGAUUGCAGCAAGCAAAAUAAAAAAGCCAAGUUUGAGACUUACCAGGUAGAACAGAUAAGGCAGUGGAAAGUGAUGCAUUACCAGCCAUAUGAACAGCUUGAGCUAUGGUCUCUUGUAGUUCAGUGGAGGAGAGGUUGAUAGUAGAUCCAGAAGACUGGGACUCAGCUGAGGUGGAAGCCGUUGGCGGAGUAGGCUCAGUAUUAGCAACAGCAACAGUAGAUUUGUUACGACGGUAACAAGUCUCAAUGGUGUGGCCAGGACGCUUGCAAUAGUUGCAGAACUUUUUGUUGGUCUACUUGCGACGAUUGCUAGAGCUAGAAAAAUCACCUAAUUGUUGAGGUUGCUCUAUGAGUGGAGUAAAUGGAGUAAUAGCCAAAACAUUGAGCUUAUUCUGGGCUUGCAGGGUUGCAAGACGAGCUUCUUCUCUAACCAACUCAUUCACAGCAGUAUCAAGAGAGGGAGCAGGACUGCGAUUUAGCAGCUGACCACGAAUGGGCUCAAAGUCCUUGUGAAGUGACAUCAAGAAUUCAUAGAGGCGAAAUUCAUCUCUGAUGGAAGCAUAUUGCUGAGCAUCUUUUGAGCAUGCCCAAGUUGGAUCAGAAAGGUCAAUUUGGUCCCAAAUGAAGCGAAGCUGAUCAUAAUAGUCAUUGAUGGAUUGCCCCGAUUCUUGCCUGAGUUGAUGCAAUUCAACCACUAACUGAUAUUUCAUGGAUCCAUGAGUAGUGGAGUACCUUUUGGUCAACAUAUCCCAUGCAGAUUUUGCAUCGUCAAAGCUGCCCAAUAGAUUGGAAAUAGAGGGAAUGGAAGUAUUCCGAAUCCAUGUGAGGAUCAUGUGGUUAUGACUAUCCCAUUCAAUCAUGCGACUAAGAAAGACAACAUCUUCUUCACUUGCUCCCUUGACAGGAAUAGUCAUUGCACCAGUACAAUAAUGCCAGAGCAUGCGACUCUUAAGAAAACUGUGCAUAGUUUGAGACCAGGAUAAGUAAUUUUUAUUCCCCUCCAAUACAGUAUUGAUGGGGCGAGGAAGAAAAACAUCAUUUUUAUCCAUUUAGAGACACAAUAUGCAAAAACAGACUGCAAAAAUGAAAUCUACACGAAAAACUGGGUAAGGAGAACCUGGAUAGAAAAAGUCAACUAGAGAGAAGUCAACGGUCAACGGAUGGUCAACGGUCAACGGUCAACGGUUGGGUCAACGGUCAACGGAUGAAGCCACAGGAUGACGUGGAGAUGACGUCAGCAAAUCGGUGGAUGCUGACGCAGCUAGGGCUAACGUGGUAGAAAUGAUGACGUCAGUAGACCAGGCCCCGGCGUGUGAGAGCGCGUGGAGGUGUGUGAGAGCGCAUGGAGGCGCGUGGAGGCGUGUGAGAGCGCAUGGAGGCGCGUGAUCAGCAUCGCAGAAUCUUUGAGCGGCGCGUGGGGGCGCGUGCGGUCUCUGAUGGCGGCGAGGGUUCCACGAAUGUGUAAAUCGGCGCUGGAUGAUCUUAGUGGUAUCUUCAAAAAUGAAAUCGGAGCAAUAUUCGUAGCGGUGAUGCAAAGAGCAGUGGUCUGUGCAGUGUGAAACUCCUUAACGACGGCGGCUGCAGGUCCGCAACCCAAGGACGACGGCUGGAUGACGUCGAAGGUUCAACGACAAGAGGUUGCGGCAGCAGUUGUGAUGGCGGAAGCAUUUAGUGAAAGAAAGGAAGUCACACUAAUGAAAACAAGACUGCUAAGAAAAGGUCAGAGCAGUGGCUCUGAUACCAUGUUAGAAAUAUGGAAUAAUUGUAUUCUAUUUCUUAAUUAAAGAAUAUACAUCAGUGCCUUUAUAUAUGAGGCAUAUGUGUGCGGUACAAGUAAAGUGUACUAUACAAGUAACCUAACUGGGCCUAAAGCCCAUAACAUAAUAUACUUUAACAGUCGGUAUGCAGCUUUGAGUGGCAAAUGGAUUGCGCAUGUUUAAGUAGUGUGGAGGAGGUGUGCAACUUGAAUUGCAGGGGAUCGAGGAGCGCAGCUUAAUUGAAGGAAAGAGGUGCACAAUGUCUGUUUGAUUCACAAUGUGAGGUGCACUUCUUGUACCUGUGAAGAAGGAAGUGUGCAAUUGCAGGACAGAAAAAAAGAUGUUUGGAGCCCUGUCAUUGAAUCAUGGAAUGAAGCUUUUGCAUCAUGAAAGAUCUGGAUGGGUUCUUUAAUUUGGGAGCCCGCUGUUAUAGCAUCCAAAAGACCAGGGGUCCUUUCAGGCGGCAUCCUCGUAAAAGCGGGCCGGUGAGCCCAACCCAAAUCAAUAACAUGGCACACCAUAGAGGUGUGCCACAAGACUGUGGCCCUACACAUACAAGUGCACCAACUAUUUAUCAAGUUCCUUCUUUCCUCAUUAGGCAUUCUUACAUUUUCAAAGCCCUCCAAAGGAUUCUACUACACCUCAAAACACCUUCAAACCUAUAAAAUGCUUGCAAAAAUCAUCAAAUAUAAAGGGUUAAGGCAUUAACAAUAAAAGCAAGCAUUGGAUUAGUUUUGAGUACUUCAAACGCAUAGAAAUAAACUCUUUAGAGCUAUUAAGUGUCAAGUUUGAGUUCUCAUCAAUUGUCUUUUAAGAAAUCUUCUUGUCUAAUCAUAUUUAGAAUAGAACCAUUAGUUCUAAAACUUGUUUUCCAAUUAUAAAAUCAAAACUAAGAUUAAUCAAACUUUAGUCUAACACGAUUAUAGCUAUUGGAAAAAUAAAGUGACUUAGGUGAUGUUUGUUUUUUUACUUAAUUCUAAAUAAAACCUUAAUGCUUAAUAGUGUUAAAUAUUAAGUUGUUUGUUUUUUUAGUAUUUUAUUUAUAUUAAGUAUUAAAAAGUAAAGAAAAACCAAUAUGUUAUUUUUUCUAUUUAGAAAAAGCUACAUAUUUUGGUUUUUUCUAAUUAGUAAAAAGUUUAUAAUAAGUCAUGAAAAAAUAGAAAAACAAACAACCUAAUUUUGAAAACAAAUUGCUUUAAGCAAAAAGCCAAAAAAACAAACACCACCUUAGUUUUAAAAAUUAAUUGAUUAUGAGUUAUAGCAAGUCAUUCAAAAUGGUCCUCAUAUGCCUACUAGAAUUAAAAAUAGGUUUUGACUCCUCAAACCUAGCAUGAUAUAUAAGAGAAGGGUUCGAUUAAAUGUAAGGGCUUUUUAUUACUUGUAUUAUGUCAAAUAUAGACAUGAAUGUACUAAAGUUUGUCGUUAUGGAUCAACUAAAUAUAUAUGAAGGUCAUUUAAGGUUAUUUAAAAGGGCAUCAAUCAAAUAAAAAUGUCUAUAAUUAACUUUCUUAUGCAUAAUUAUUAAUUUUAAAGAUGAGAAAAAUGAGACCACUAUUAAGAUGUUCACCUGGUUCACCAACAUCGUAAAUGGUCUAUAGUUCUUAAGGAAAGUCCACACCAAAUUGAAGAAAAUGAUGAAGAUUAUGAGGUUUCAACCAAAGCAAUGGGAGGCCAAAGUUAUUACAUAUAAAAGGUUAACAAUAUCACGAAGCUCCUAGUUGAAGAACUCAUUAAAUCACUUAUGAUUCUUGAGAUCAUAUUGAAAAGUCAUCAAGAAGUUGAAAACCAUAAGAAUUAAAAAGAACAUUGCAUUUAAAGCAUCAAUAAUGACGAGGAAAGUAAAAAAGAUGAAGAUUUUGAUUUCAUUGGAAAAAUUUUUAAAGAAGAUUAUGAAGUUCAAAAGAGUAAGGAAAUAAAACUUCAACCAAAGACAACAUCAUCAAAUGAAGAUAACAAGAUGAAGAAUAUUGUAUACCACUUAUACAAGAAGUUGGAUCACAUCAAACAAAAUUGUCCUCUCCUUGAAAUGAAGUUGAGAAAGGCGAGAAGAAAGCAAUGAUAAUUAUAUAGAGUACGAGUGAAUAAGAUUGAGUAAAAAAAAUGUAAAUGAGGUAUAGUCAACAUAUGCUUAAGUCUAUAAAUAGGAGGGUUGUAGGUUAUAUAUAUAUUCUUGUAUCCUAUUUUUCUUAUAAUUCAAAAUAGAGUGUUCUUUGUUUUACUGUUAUUCUCUCCAAUAUAUCUUCAAUCUACUUACCCUUAACUCGAUGGAGUAUGCAUUGUCUAGCAAUUAAGGAUUAUACAUACAUGUUCUUUUGUUGUUUCAACCUUACCAUUGGUUCAUAGCUACUUGGGGAAUGGAUUAAAAGUUGGGUGUCCUUGGCUUAGAACAAAAGUUUUAAGUAUAUCUUGUUUAAGUCAAUGGUAAUGGAUUAAAAAUGCAAAAUGAAGGUGGAAGAGGGAGAAGAAGAGGAAGAAAUAGAGAGAGUUUGUAAACCGCAAUUUCGAUAAUUAUUAGCAGUAAGAGUUUUCCCAUUUACCUUAUUUUGAUGUAAUUGUUGCUAUUAUAGAUGUAAACUAGUUUUUAAAAAACAUAAAUCCAACGUAAAAAAUUUCAAAAUGUAAUUGAGCUCAUUUUUUUGUAAGAAAAAGAUGAAAAAUGAGUUAAAUGUUAAAAAAAGAAACCUACAUUUUCAUAAAAUGAAUUCAAUAUAAAGGGUGAACUACCUUUAAAAAAUGAAUUUAAUGUUUAAAAAAAAAAACCAAAAGUGCCAUAUUUUAUAUUUUUAAUAAUAUUUUUUUAAAAAAAAUUAAUAAUCUUUCACCAUCGCAUUGGGACUAGUCCAUUAAGGAACCCACUUUCAAAUAAGAUAAAUUAAGUCUAGUGUAGAAUAAUUAUAUAAUAAAAAAGUAAAUUUAUAAAAUAAUAUAAAAAAUAAAAAUAAGAAUUUCUUAUUUACUCCACAAUUGCUAAUGUUUUUAGCUAUUGUUAAAAUUACAUCACUUACAGAUGGUUCGUUUAUUUUGUUUAUUUUUUAUAACUAAGGUGGCCUUUUUUUUUUCUAUCAAAUCUAAAUAUAUCUUAAUUUAAGUCUAUUGAAUUAAGUGUUUAAGUUAUUUAUUUUUGUUAAGGUUAGAACUAUUAAGUGUUAAAUGACUUAAUUUUAAUAAUAUCUUAAUGUUUUUUACAAAUUAAAUAAAAAAUUCUAUCAUUAUAAAAAUAAUUAUUUAUUUUUAUUUUUUAUAUGAUUAAUAAAAAUUUACUUGAAAGUUGAAACAUAGUUAUUUCUUUUUUAUUUCAUAUAAUUAAAAUAAAUAUAUUUGAAAAUGAUAAUUAAAAAAAAGUAAUUUAUUAUAUUUUCAUAUAUCUCAAAAUACCAAAAUUUAGUACUUUAUUAUUCUAUACAAUUAAGAUAAGCAAUUUAAAAACUAAGAAUUAAAAUUAAAAAUUAAAAAAAAAACCCUACUAAUUUAAAUUAAAAUAUUUCCAAAUGUCUCUAAAUGAUUAAAUAAAUUACAAUAAUACAAGUCUAUAAUGGUGAAUUAUGUACUUAUAUUUGUCCUUUAGUUGAUUUAGCUCUUAAUAUAGCAUCAUUCAAGUCAAGCUUCUUUUUUUUUUUAAGUGGGAUAGGUGAAGAAUUUAUUUUCGUUGAGAAUUGAAUGAGUUAUGAGAUAAAAAUAUUGAUUAUAUAUGACUAAAUAUUUAUUUCGGUUUUUAAAAUUUGUACAUUUAUUUUGGAAUUGUUUCUUGUUCAAAUUAAUUGACUCUUAGAUUGUUGGUUUCAAUUUUAGUAAGGAUUAUUCAAAAGAUUUAGAUGUAAAUUUGCUUAAGAAAUGGGAACAACUACUUUAUUAAUUUAUAAGAAAUUCAUCUAUCAUUCACAUUUGACUUUACUUGUAAUUUGGGUAACUUGAUUUAUUUUUAAGUUAAGAAUUAACAAAAAUUUUCAAAAGUAUAUUUGGCUUUAUUUUAUUUGAGAAAUUGGGUUUGGAUGUUGUUGAAGUUAAAAUUUGAAAAGAUAAAAUAUAAGAAGUUAUUUUUUCCAAUAAGACAAAGAUGGAAAAAAUUGACUUUUUUCUUUAAAACAAAAUUAUCUCAUACUAAAUGAUGAAGUCAAAUUUAAAUCUUAAAGUAACUUAUUUUAAAAUUUUAAUUUAAUAUGCAAACAAAUUCCAAGUAUUAUUUUAAAUUUUAUCUUAAAUUUGAUACUUUUACAUUAAUUUUUAUUCAAACAAUUUGAUAACUGUUUUAGAGAACAGUUUUUCUCUUCCAAACAAAAAAAAUUAGGAAAACACGAUUUGACAAUAAAAAAAAGUUGUUAAAAUAACAUUUGUUAAUUGUUUUCUACCUUUUUCACUUGUUUUUUAUAACCGUUUUAAAAAAUAACUAUAUAAACAUGUAAAAUAAUUAAAAAUAAAACACUAAAUAUAAAAAUUAUUUUUAAAAUAUAUUUAAAAAAUUAUCUAAACAGACUUUUAUUCUACAAAAUAUUUGUUCUCAAAAAUGGUUUUUUCAAAACUAUCCUCGAAAAUAGUUACCUAUCAUAUGUGAGAUCUCUUCAAUUUUUUGAUAAAAAGAUAAACAUAAUGGAUAUUUAAGGGUACUAGCCACAUGUGAUCCGAGGUGAAUCAAUCCUUAGGGAAAAAAAAACCAUAAAUAAAAAGGAGAGAUACUUCAUUGCAAUCUGCUUACAAGGAAAGCUUAUUUUAUACUAGCAAUGGCAGAGCAUCAAAGGCCAUUAAUUAGCACCACUUACCUGUUUAUGACACCAAAGACAUUCCACCGUAACGAACAGCAAAACGGAAAACAUACAAUACUGAUAGUUUAGCUAGCUAGAUGAAGUUUCAACAAACCUUCAACUCACAGAGCAUUCCAGCUGAGAAGCUGCAUGAAGCUAUAGUCCAUAGAUCCAUAUAUAUGUGUAAUCAUGUCUAGAUGUUGUGUUCAGUAGAACCCUACGCUCUUGGUUGACAUAGAAGUUAAUUUAAAGUUCCCAUAUCGCCUUGUGGCAUCCAUACUGUCGUGGUUUCAGCAUAUGUAUGCCCUGCUGAAACUAGUGCUGUGAAACCCCCUGUCGUGAAGAUGUAGACCUGGUAGCUUCCUUCAGAGUCUCCACAGCCUCGCCAAUGUUG